GGGGAUAUAGCUCAGUUGGUAGAGUGUUUGCCUUGUAAGCAUCAGACACUGGGCUCCAUCCCCAGAACCGCCA
rnacentral:tRNA from 1 species